UUGGAGGGCAAGUCUGGUGCCAGCAGCCGCGGUAAUUCCAGCUCCAAUAGCGUAUAUUAAAGUUGUUGCAGUUAAUAAGCUCGUAGUUGAAUUUCGGGAUCAAUUUAUUGGUCGUGCUAUUGUACGUACUGGUAUUAUUGAUUCCUACCUUCUGACGAACCACGAUGUCAUUAAUUUGGUGUCAUGGGGAAUCAGGACUGUUACUUUGAAAAAAUUAGAGUGUUUAAAGCAGGCUCACGCUUGAAUACAUUAGCAUGGAAUAACGAAAUAGGACGUUUGAUUCUAUUUUGUUGGUUUCUAGGAUCGACGUAAUGAUUAAUAGGGAUAGUUGGGGGCAUUAGUAUUCAAUUGUCAGAGGUGAAAUUCUUGGAUUUAUUGAAGACUAACUACUGCGAAAGCAUUUGCCAAGGAUGUUUUCAUUAAUCAAGAACGAAAGUUAGGGGAUCGAAGACGAUCAGAUACCGUCGUAGUCUUAACCAUAAACUAUGCCGACUAGGGAUCGGAUGAUGUUAAUUUUUUAAUGACUCAUUCGGCGCCUUACGGGAAAC
rnacentral:rRNA from 1 species